GUCCCUGUUGAGCGAUGGAUAGUGCGUUGGACUUCUAAUCCAAAGGUCGGGGGCUCGACUCCCCCGUGGGAUG